UAGGCGUUUUUCGGGAUUCCUGUGGCCGGGGCGCAACAGGAAUCCCGAAACCUCGACUAAAUUACCAGCUUCCGGUUCCGGUAGGGGAAGCCAUCUUGCUUGAUUUGGAAGAUCGUUCGAAGCCACAAGAAUGGAGAACAGCGAAGAACAUAGCAAGGAUUACAAGUUUCUCAUUGAACAUCAGUGGAAUGGAGACGCCAUCACCCAUUCUUCUCCAGCUGAAGUGCGCAUGGCUUUCAGUGAGGGAUCUGUGAGGGUGGGUGUGAGUGGACCCCUCCUGGAAGACUCUAGAAUUCCUCGCUCUCCCCCAGGGCAACCGUGUGACGAGCUCUGGGAGUAUGACGUCGUAGAAAUAUUUUUCCUGGGUGAGAAGGAUAAGUACUUGGAAGUCGAGUUUUGUCCCCACGGGCAACACUUGGUACUGCUUCUUGACGGCACCAGGAACAUGUUUAAGGACAAGCUUCCGCUCCAGUUCACUGCUGUCAAGGAUAGCCGCGCAAGCCGAUGGACCGGGUCGGCCACCAUUCCACUUGAGUACUUCCCACCCGGAGUAUGUAAGAUGAACGCGUAUGCGAUACAUGGGUCAGCGGAGUCUCGCCAGUAUGAAGCUCUGUAUCCUGCUUCCAAGGAUUUCCCUGCGCCGGAUUUCCAUCGGUUGCAGUUUUUUCAAGACUUCAAUUUUAAGUCCCUCUUUCCCCGUGGGUUUGUCAUCCCUGAGUCGCCACUGUGGAAGGCCAGGGCGUAAGGAACGUCUUACGUCUGAGGUGAUGUGAGGUUUCUAGCACAAAGCGUGGAGAACUGACGAAGUAUCAGGGCCCUGCCCCGUCUGCUAACACUCAUAUAUAGACUCUCUCCUUCUUAAACUCCACAAGAAGCCCAGCUUUCAAAGGUGAACGUUCACGCGGGCGUACCCCAAGAUCUCACCUUCAAUAAUGGAGCGCUGUUUACAGAUUUUGGUUCUAAGCCUCGUGUUAUUACUUUGUACUUUUUCUGUUACAAAUGCCAUCUCGAGCGGGCCAAACAGUGGUAUUGCGUAUCCCUGGUUCAAGCGAAAUCCCGCUCAAUCAAGACAUGAGUCAGCUAAGAGUAAAGGCCUCAAUCUAAGGCUACGCAGCAUCUGCGAGCGCUCACCUAGAACUGUUAUAUGUAACAGAAAGAGAUUUGCAGAGCCGCCAGGGGCCUGGAGACGACGGAUGGACGCAUGGGCAGAAUUGGACUAGACCGCUGACUAUCUUAAUUGCCAAAGUGUGUGCGGUGUGCUUAGUGUGGCUGCUGGUGGUUUUAUAACUCAGUCGGCAAGAACUUGAACAAGUUGCUUGGUCUAAAUACCUGUAAUAAAUAUAGUUUUCGUAUUCCCUUCAAUGAUCUACCAUCUUGUAAAACCUGGAAAAAAACCUGACUUGUUAAACUAAUAAACGUUAGAGCCGUUAUUACCGGCUGUUUUAAAUAUA